AUUGAACGCUGGCGGCAGGCCUAACACAUGCAAGUCGAGCGGAGCGGCGGACGGGUGAGGAAUGCCUAGGAAUCGGCAUGGGAGUGGGGGAUAACGUCCGGAAACGGGCGCUAAUACCGCAUACUAUCGGAUGCGCCUAGGUCGGAUUAGCAAGUUGGUGGGGUAAAGGCAUACCAAUGCGACGAUCCGUAACUGGUCUGAGAGGAUGAGCAGUCACACUGGAACUGAGACACGGUCCAGACUCCUACGGGAGGCAGCAGUGGGGAAUAUUGGACAAUGGGCGCAAGCCUGAUCCAGCCAUGCCGCGUGUGUGAAGAAGGUCUUCGGAUUGUAAAGCACUUUAAGUUGGGAGGCGUUACCAACAGAAUAAGCACCGGCUAACUUCGUGCCAGCAGCCGCGGUAAUAC
rnacentral:rRNA from 1 species